CAGCUAACAACACUUGAACCAAUGAUCACUGGAUUGCAAGAAUCAUUGCCAAAGUCCAUUGGAUUGCUUCCUUUUUAUGGAGGUGUGGCAGAGAGAAGUAGAUACCUGACACUUCAUGUAAACAGCCCCUUGGCUGGGUUUACUUCCCAGUGCUGAUGGGCAAGUAUUACAUUCUCAAGAUGGUGGAGAUAGUCCAAUUCUCAGUCUCUUUAAAUCAGUCACUGCUGCAAUAUUAUCUAAGCCAGGGUGCCCAAAUCCAACCUCUUUCAGCACCCUAUCAAAACAAGCAGAAGCUGCAGAUCUUUUAUACAAGGCAAAUAUGAAUACUGGAAGUGUGCUUGAAUAUGCCCUCGCCUUUACAAGUGCAACAUUGGAUAAGUAUUGCAGUAAAUGGAAUGCUAUUCCUAAAACAAGAUUUGUUGACAUUACAACUUCAUCUACACAAUCACCCAGGAAUCCUCACUU